AUGGAGUCCCUGUUGAGCUGGGUUUUCCUAGUUGCUAUUUUAAAAGGUGUCCAGUGUGAGGUACAGCUGGUGGAGUCUGGGGGAGACCUGAGACCGCCCGGGGGAUCUCUGACACUCUCCUGUGUAGCCUCAGGAUUCACCUUCAGUAACUACUGGAUGCAUUGGGUCCGCCAGGCUCCAGACAAGAGACUUGACUGAGUUGCAAGAAUUAAUCCUGCCAGUAGUACUAAGAACUACGGUGAGUCUGUGAAGGGCCGAUUCACCAUCUCCAGAGACAACGCCAAGAACAUGCUAUAUCUGCAAAUGGACAAUUUGAGAACCGAGGACACAGCAAUUUAUUACUGUGCAAAAGGAAUUGGUGUGGAUUAUUACCAGAGAAAUACCAUUGUGUGA